rnacentral:lncRNA from 1 species
UAUGUGUGGAAAUAGGACUAUUUCCACAUGUAAUAGGAAGCACUAAGAAGGCUAAUGAUGGCUAUAUAACCACCAAAGCAGGUGUGUGAAGCCUGCUGUGCAAAAAUAAAAAUAAUUCAUUUUGUUGCCCAAGAUGAUAUCCAAGUGUCAGUCUCCAGAAUGCUUCAAGAAUGUGGAUUACAGCAGUAUACCUGUUAUCUUCCCAGUGAUUGAAACAGGACUCUUCCUGGUUGUUUCCAUUGUGUGCAAGAACAUACACUGACCAACAUUGCUGAUGCAUUUAGUUCUCCUAAGUGGUCACUGAAGUAAGUUGGGAUAAGACAGAAAAUAAAAAUUUUACUGGUGAUUAAUUUUGGGGUCA